CACGUAGGGUGCGAGCGUUGUCCGGAAUUAUUGGGCGUAAAGAGCUCGUAGGCGGUGUGUCGCGUCGGCCGUGAAAACCUGCAGCUUAACUGUGGGCGUGCGGUCGAUACGGGCAUCACUGGAGUUCGGCAGGGGAGACUGGAAUUCCUGGUGUAGCGGUGAAAUGCGCAGAUAUCGGGAGGAACACCAGUGGCGAAGGCGGCUUCCUGGCCUGUUCUUGACGCUGAGGCGCGAAAGCUAGGGGAGCAAACGGGG
rnacentral:rRNA from 1 species